CAAAAUAGAAACACCAAAGGAGAAUGGUGAAGAUGACAAUGCGACGAGAUGAUGAAGGCCAAAAUCAUCCUGCUUCAUAAAAAAAAGACGCUUCAACCAACAAAAGCUCAAGAUCAUGGUUUUUCAGGGAUCGGCCAGGCAACUAUAAUCCUUAAAAUCAAGAGCCUUAGCCUCGGGGCGUUACGCCACCAACAAUAAUUAAUCAGUUAUUAAUUGUGCCCUUUUAUAACGGGGAACCUUUCGAGCGAUGGGGGCCACUUAAUGGUCCAUGCUUCCGUGAUAGCGAACCGAGACAGCUCGCCAAAGAUGCCAAUUAAGAAAAGCCAUCAGUAUGGUUCCAAGAGAAAUGAUCUCAGAUACGAUAUGGUUUCACUUCCACGGCCUUCUCUAGCACAACCCUUAACAUUUCCUUCUAUGUAUGUCAGCCAAUUCAUUUAAGUCCUCGCCCUUACGCCCUUUCUUAUUUUAAUUAAUUUAUAAUAUAAUUUAAAAUAUAAAAAUGGUUUAUAUGUAUAUAUAGGAAAACGGAUAAAAAGAGGACCCUCAUAUGCUAUUUGACUGGAAUCGUCUAGGCCGUCAAUUGCAAUGAAAUCAAAUAAAUAAAAACUAAGUUUUUUACAAGAGAGUAUAUAUAUAUAUAUAUAUAUAUAUAUAUAUAUGAGGCGCCGUUACAGACAAUUAAAUUGGAGGGAAACAAAGAAGCGUUACUACACUAUAGAAACUAAGCGUAUACACACAUGAAAUGAUACAUAAACACUGUCGCAAGCUGGGUGACCGAAGUGAGGCAAAACACUACCAAAAGGUAUAUACAAGUGUCCGAACGUAUCUGAAGUCUUUAAAAGACAUCUGCCGGGCCAACUUAUCUAAAUUUUUAUGUUAAACAAUUGCAUAUAAUAUAAUUGAACAAAGAAAAAAAAAAUGUGAGUCAUAAGGUCGAGAUAAUAGGGCCUAUCUUAGACAUUUUCCUCCGCCAGUCAAACACGCUACAAAUUUAUCCCGCUUAACAAAAUUAAUUUGAGUGGAGUACGAUUUAACCGCUUAUUGAAAUUUAAAGGUGAGAUAUGUUAAGUAAUAUUUAUUAUGAUUUACGUGGGUAGUCGAUGAUUUACAUAAAAAAAAUAAAAAUUCAAAAAAUGAGUGACUCGCCAUUUCAUUGUUUUAUGCAAAGUGAAAAGAUUCUUCCCCAUCCGUCGCAAUUACAGUGAAAAGGUUCAUCCCCUUCCGUCCGCAAAUAAUUUUUUAUUCCAAAUGAGGAUAAAAAGCGACGGUUUAAAAGAAAUCGUUUUAAAAUUGUUUUAGUAAUUUAGUAAGUGCAUUAAAUAAGCAUCUACAAACUCGAAAAACAAGAGAUAUUUAGCCAAAACAAUAAUAUAUUUUAGUGAGGGUAACUUUGAAAAAAAUAACAAUAAUAAACUGUUUAAAAAUUAAAAUUUCCUAAAAAUAAGAACCCUCUUGUUUUUUCACGCCUUCAAUUUUCCAACCAGAUGCGAUAAAACCCAGAACAUGUCCACCAUUUAUUGUCUGAAACCGGCCACAAAAAAAAAAAAAAAAAAAAAACAA